AGAUUGAACGCUGGCGGCAGGCUUAACACAUGCAAGUCGAACGGUAAAGUAGCUUGCUACUUACGAGUGGCGGACGGGUGAGUAACGUAUGGGAAUUUACCGAAUGGAGGGGGACAACAGUUGGAAACGGCUGCUAAUACCGCAUAACGUCGAGAGACCAAAGGGUUUCGACUUGCCAUUUGAUGAGCCCAUAUGAGAUUAGCUAGUUGGUGUGGUAAUGGCUCACCAAGGUGACGAUCUCUAGCUGGUUUGAGAGGAUGACCAGCCACACUGGGACUGAGACA
rnacentral:rRNA from 1 species